UGAUCGCAUCACUCGUACGCUUAUGACGACUCCAAAAAAUCAAAACAAAAUACGUGUUCGGUCUGUUCCCCACUUUUAAUGGAUUUGUGCUUGUCGUAUUGAAUGAUUAAUAGAAAACAUGCCCGAAAACUAUAACAUCGUUCAGACGUCCGAACAUAAGGACACAUUCUUAUUUGUGUUGCCUUCGUUGUGGAUAUUACAAAAACGGAUGGAGAUCCUAUGGAUCGGACGAUUCAUAUAAUGACGAUAACGGUAAUGAUCUGUGCUUUUGGCCAAAAGGUGUUUCCGGCUACCGUCUGCUCGAAAAAUCGAAGAAAGUGUUGCGCGCUUUUCGGCGCAGGAUCAAAAGAAUCAAAUUCUUGAGCUAUUCUGAUGUGUUCUGUGAGCUUAAGAUUAUAGAAACGGAUUCCGAUACGGAAGAAUACAACGCAAUGAUGAAAUAAGACCAGUCUCAACGGCUGCUGACUUUUUCAAGUAGAUCCAACAAUCAAGCCCAGGGCCAUAUUGAGAAUCUGCAGCAUCAAACCAAGGCGUCGAAAUUAGGAUUGGGCGAUCUCGGAUCGAUUCUUAUAAGAUCGAUCUUUUCCAUUCCGAUUUCCGAUUUUUUGGAUCGAUCUUUUGUACUCAAGAGAAUCGAGAAAAUCGUUUUUUUUUACUUUCGAUUUUUCGAUCUUAGAAAAACUUUUUGUAAAUUUGUUCUUCAGUUCACAUUGAUUUCUUAUUUUACCAAAGGCCCACUAACACUUUUUUGAAACACAGUGUCAGCAUAUGGAUCGCUUCUUCUACGAUUUACUUCUGUGCAAAUGCUAACAGAGACGUAACCAGUUGCGCAUAGGAUAGCUGUUGACAUCAAUUACAGGUGAAAGGGUUGGUUUGGUUUCAGGCCGUUGUUGAAUUUCUAAUAAUGCUUUUUCAAUUAAUUUAUCUAAUAAAACAAUUGCCUGACGGCACAAGAUGAAUGCAUUAUGAUCUUCAUGCUGAGGAACAAAACAAAAUGCUUUUGAUCUUUCAAUAGAAAUAUGAAAUUUUUAUUCCCUGUUUGAAGAAAAGACGACAUUCUUAGAGAAU